rnacentral:rRNA from 1 species
CCUACGGGAGGCUGCAGUGGGGGAUAUUGCACAAUGGGGGAAUCCCUGAUGCAGCGACGCCGCGUGAGUGAAGAAGGAUUUCGGUAUGUAAAGCUCUAUCAGUAGGGAAGAAAAUGACAGUACCUGACCAAGAAUCUCCGGCUAACUACGAUCCAGCAGCCGCGGUAAUACGUAGGGGGCAAGCGUUAUCCGGAUUUACUGGGGGUAAAGGGAGCGUAGACGGUUUUGUAAGUGUGUAGUGAAAGCCCGGGGCCCAACCACGGGACUGCUUUGGAAACUGUGUAACUGGAGUGCAGGAGGGGCAGGCGGAAUUCCUGGUGUAGCGGUGAAAUGCGUAGAUAUCAGGAGGAACACCGGUGGCGAAGGCAGCAUGCUGGACUGAAACUGACGUUGAGGCUCGAAGGCGUGGGGAGCAAACAGGAUUAGAUACCCGGGUAGUC